rnacentral:lncRNA from 10 species
GGCGCAGUCCCUCCGCCCCCAUCACAGGCUCUGCAGAGACCAAGACACCAGCUAUGGAAUAGCUGAUAGGCACCAAUAUGCCCUGGGCCCUGUCUCACCACUAGCAUCACCACACACACUUCUCCGACGCUCCUCCCUCCCGGCUCUUCGAGAUGCCAGCAGAAGGAGACACAGUGCCCGAGUGAUGUGCAGCGGCACGGGGUCCCCCAGCCCGGCAGAGUCAGCUUUGGGGCUGGGAGCCACCACAGGACCUGGCUCCCCACGACACCGGCUGAGCCCGGAAGCAGCUGAAGGUUCCAGGACCCUCGGGGCAGCUCCCAGGCCGGCGAGGAAGAAGCCAGGGUGAAAUUUGCGGAAUGGAUUUGUUUCCACUCUUGGAAUUCGUGAUCACUUUGCUCCUCUGAGUCUCUAGGAAUUAGCAAUUGUGCCAUCGACCAAAUUAAGGUGCAAAUUAUUUGUAUUGUUAAACGACUCCAGUUAUUACUUGGAGAAAAUUUUGCACUUCAAUUAACAAAAGCACACAUGGGGCAGUUUCUGAGCAAAGCCAGAUUUUAUAACACUCAGAAGAAUGAGGUCCGGCCCCGGGCCUCGCCGCCCUCCUCCUGGCUUUCAGCUCAGCCUGUCCCC